rnacentral:rRNA from 1 species
UUCAUCCUACGGGGGGCAGCAGUGGGGAAUAUUGGGCAAUGGGCGCAAGCCUGACCCAGCAACGCCGCGUGAAGGAAGAAGGCUUUCGGGUUGUAAACUUCUUUUAAGAGGGAAGAGCAGAAGACGGUACCUCUUGAAUAAGCCACGGCUAACUACGUGCCAGCAGCCGCGGUAAUACGUAGGUGGCAAGCGUUGUCCGGAUUUACUGGGUGUAAAGGGAGCGUAGGCGGUUUAGCAAGUCAGAAGUGAAAGCCCGGGGCUCAACUCCGGGACUGCUUUUGAAACUGUUGAACUAGAUUGCAGGG